ACGUAGGGGGCGAGCGUUGUCCGGAAUUACUGGGCGUAAAGCGCACGUAGGCGGGCUGUUAAGUCGGCCGUGAAAGGCACUGGCUCAACCGGUGUUUGUCGGUCGAUACUGGCGGUCUGGAGUAUGGGAGAGGGAACUGGAAUUCCCGGUGUAGCGGUGUAAUGCGUAGAUAUCGGGAGGGAGACGAGUGGGGAAGGCGGGUUCCUGGCCUAUUACUGACGCUUAGGUGCGAAAGUCAGUGGAGCGGACGG
rnacentral:rRNA from 1 species